UUUCCGUAGGUGAACCUGCGGAAGGAUCAUUACAGAGUUCAUGCCCUCGCGGGUAGAUCUCCCACCCUUGAGUAUUUAGACCUUAGUUGCUUUGUCAGGCGGUGGAAACACCGUGGGGUCCGGCUUAUGCGUGCCUGGCAGAGGAAAGAGACUGUGUAUUUAGUGAUGUCUGAGUACUAUAUAAUAGUUAAAACUGUCAACAACGGAACGCUUGAUGCUGGCAACGGUGAAGAACGAAGCAGGUAGUAAAGGCACACGGCGGAACUUCAGUCACCAUUC
rnacentral:misc_RNA from 1 species